UGGCUGCUCAAAGCUGCCUUCUCCCUUAGCUGACACGGUACCUUCCUGGUUAAGGUGUUUUCAGACCCGCCCGUUUCUCUGCCUACACUCUCUCCCGCCCUACAGUAAGCUUUCAAGACCAGAGGCUGGGCUGUGUCAUGUGUCUCUGUUUUCCCUUUUUAAGUUUCAUCCUCCUGACGGCCAGCGUCUGCACAGCGGCCAGAGGAUGCACAAAGCAGAUCGGACGCAGUCACGCCGAAUCUCAGAGACCUGGGAUGGUUCCCUCCCGACCUCCAGCAGAAUCAAGUCCCAACCUCUACUUUACAGAAAUGUAAGCUCAGGCAUGUGGGAUCUUAGCUCCCUGACCAGGGAUCGAACCGGUACCCCUGCAUUGGAAGGCGAAGUCUUAACCACUGGACUGCCAGGGAAUCCCUGAAGCACCGCAGGAAAGCAGGGCGGAUUCCUACUUCAUCUCCGCUGAAACUGGCCCCCAGUCUGCUCGCUUCUCCCUCCAUGAAGCCCCAGUUCUAGAAGGUGGUCCAGCCCUUCUCCUUAAACCCACACUGAUAGAUUCUGCCCCCUGAACGAGGUUCAUCACUGCCCUUCUCCUACCGGUCCACAAAGUGGAAGUACAGGGCUUGGUGAGUGGAGCUCUUGGAUUUCAGCUGCCACAAGUCCCUCAUGCAGUCAACAACCUGCACGUCCAUACAGGCCACACCUGUGCCCUCAGAGCUCCCAUCUAACUCGGGGCUUAAGACUUGU